UUUUUGUUCCACCAAUGAAAAUAAUUCCUACAGAAGCCAAGAUACAAGAACUGGAAAAGUCCAAAUGCAGUUCGACUGUAUAUUAGCACUCUUGGAACACCGGCUAAUCAAUCACCGGAGGACUGUAACUAAAUGUUUAUAAUAUGAAUUUUAAAAUUCAGAAUGUUUGGGAUUUAGAUAAAGUCUUUGGUGAAAGGAAGUAAGGUCAUUGUAGCCUUGUCUUAAAAGGUCAGUAUGACAAACCACACAGAUGAGACAGCUAUUUUAGUUCUGGAGUUGUUCUCUUCGCAACCAUACAGCUGUACGCAAACCCUGCUUUAUUUACAGUGCCUGUUUUGUUUUUGUUGCUCUUUUGUCUGAUGCAGUCAUCAACCGUUUCAACAUUUUAUCAUUCCACUCUAUUUCCGUCUCUGUAUAUGAGUGUUUUUUUUUUUUUUUUUUUUUUUCAUAGACAGAGUCCUACUUAUUGAAGCUGGGGAAUUAUACUCCAGAAUCCCACUAAACUUACUAUGUUUUAAACAGAUUUAUGUAAUGCUCUUUAAAAAAAGAAAAGAAAAAAGAAACAAAAAUAUUGAGAAUGGCCUUACAGUCACAUAAAAUUUAUGAGAUAUGUAUUGUGAGGAGGAUUGUCACGUAGAAAAAUGAAGUUUUCUUCAUGGCUUGACAUGUUUGAAACUUUUGGACCCUCCCCUUGCCAGCACACACAAUCCCAUUGACUAAAGAAGAUGGCUAUCACAGAGAAUCCUCCUUGCACCGUUUAGGUUUUUUAUACAUAAGAUUGUACAAAGUAGUCCUCUACUGUUUUCAUAUAGUGUUUUUUUAUAUGAAAAUAAAUUUUCAAACUGA